GCACGAAGGGGGGGGGCGAGGGGCAGAGGCCGCUCAGCGAGCGGCGGGCGCGCCGGGCCGCCGCCGCGGGAGCUGCGAGAGAGGAGGAGGGUCCCGGGGGCUCCUCACGGCGGGGCUGGGAGGCGGCUGCUGGCGGGGCUGCGCCGGCGGGGUGCGUCCCCGCUCAGCGCCUGCAUCCAUCCUGCGGCGGGGCGCCGGGCAGCGGGGCCGACAUGGAGCACCGCGAGCGGGGCCGGGACCGAGGGAGGCAGCGAGGGAGGGACGGAGGGAGAGGGGGGGGAAAAACCCCGAGCCGCGGCCCCGGGGCUCAGCCCCGCCUCGCAGCGGCGCCCAUGGCGGCCGCGGCCUCCGCCCGCCGCUCGGCGGCCACCGCCCGCGCCAGGCCGCGCUCCCCCAACGGCGGCGGCCUCGCGGGGAGCCCGGAACCCCUCCCGGUCCUCCUGGUCCUGCCGCCUCCGCCGCCGCCCCCCGCCCGCAGCCGCCCUCACCGGAGGCCGCCCAGCCGCCGCAGGUGAGCCGAGUCCCGGCGGGGCGGGGAGGCGGGCGCGCAGCGCAGCGGAGCCGCCCCGGGGCCGUCUGGGCGCUAAAUGGCGCCGGGCGCCCGAAACCGACACACGGCGGGGGGGGCGGGGAGGGGGGAGCGCCGCACAACACGCCCCCUUCCGCGCCCGCUACUGCGCGUGCGCGCCCGCGCCCCCCCCAACCCCCCCCCGCCGGGAUAGCGGAGCGUCCGCUCUGGCCGCCCCGCCCGCCGGGUGCUCGGGGAGAUUGCGGCGCCCGCCGUGCGCGGAGCUUCAUGGGAGUUGUAGUUUUUUGGGGGGGGGGGCGGCUGCGCCUGUAAGGCCGCAAAGGAGGUUAUGGGGGAACCGCUUCCUCCACAGGGGGAAGGAGGGUGAUGUGGGGCGCGGGGGAAUGGACCGCGGCUCUCCCUCCUUCACGCGGGGACAGCACUCACCCGCUGGGUGGGAGCGGGCGGUGGUACCACCACAGAGCAGAUGCCAGAGGAAUGGGGAAGGCGGCCAACCAUGGGCGCCACAGAACCCAUGUUGCAACCCUUGGGAGCGUGAGGUGUUCAGCUCCACGUCUUCACACUGCCUCCCUGCCUCGCUGCUUCGAAAUUUCCAGCAAAGAUAA
rnacentral:lncRNA from 1 species